GUUAAACCUAUGAGUGAGAGUAGUAGCACCCGUCACUGUAUGACAGAGAGUUGCCGGUCGGUGUAAAGGCAAUGAUACAUACGCUUGUGAAUGGACUCACGAGGGCAAACCGAGAAUAUCAGUUUUUGAUAUUUUAGGGGCGACGGAUACCUCCGUUACAGGGUCGCACAUAUGAUAGUAUGUGUAGCGAGUGACCGUGUUUUAUUAUACGGUAAUUUGGGUGGUACCGCAGGUAAACUAUACUCCUGUCCCAAUU
rnacentral:ncRNA from 1 species